AUCAGUUUGUGUGCUUUAGAUUCAUUACAUGUCUUCCCUUGAAGUGGGAGGAGGAGGACCAGUUGCAUUCGCAGAAAGAACCAAAUCCGUUGAUGCACUCACCAAGAAAGAGAUCCUCUCCGCUCUAACCAACGGAGAGAUCACCUCCGACCCUUCCGAGGACGCUAGGUUCAGAAACAGGGAGCUCUCCCUCCCCAACGGCGAGUCCUACGACGGCACUCUCCUGGGAAACGUCCCCGAGGGCUCAGGGAAGUACCUGUGGUCAGACGGCAGCGUUUACGUCGGCGAAUGGAGACGCGGGAUGAGACACGGCAACGGGAAGAUGAGAUGGGCUUCGGGCGCGUGCUACGAAGGCGAGUUCUCAGGAGGCUACAUGCACGGCACGGGGACGUACACGGACGCUAAUAACCUAACGUAUAAAGGAAGGUGGCGGCUGAAUCUCAAACACGGGCUUGGGUACCAAGUUUACCCUAACGGUGACGUCUUCGAAGGCUCUUGGAUUCAGGGUUGGGGAGAAGGGCCAGGGAAGUACACUUGGGGUAACGGGAACAUCUAUCUUGGGGAUAUGAAAGGUGGGAAGAUGUCUGGGAAAGGGACGUUGACUUGGAUCACAGGGGACUCGUACGAAGGAAGCUGGUUGAAUGGGAUGAUGCAUGGUUUCGGUGUGUACACGUGGAGGGACGGUGGUUGCUACGUAGGGACGUGGACGCGUGGUUUGAAAGAUGGGAAAGGAUCGUUUUACUCGGCGGGGACUAGAGUUCCCGCCGUGCAGGAGUUUUAUCUCAACGCUCUUAGGAAGAGAGGCGUGUUGCCUGAUCUGAGGAGGCAGAGCCAAGUUGCUGCAGCUUCUUCGGUUAAUAUGGAGAGUCUUAGAGUAGGUGGUGGUGGCAACAACAAGCUCUCGAAAGGGAGUUUGAUUAACUUGGAGCAGUCACGCAACGGGAGGGUUUCUUUGGAGAGGCGGUGGAGUCUUGAAGUGAGUAUUGAGAAAGUGAUUGGGCAUGAUUACUCGGAUUUGGAUAGGGGAAGCAGUACUGAGGAGUAUAGUGCGAACAGACCGAUCUUGGAACGGGAGUAUAUGCAAGGUGUUCUGAUCAGUGAGCGUGUGGUGGUAGACAACAGGUUUUCGCCUACUUCGAAAAGAGCUAAGAGGAAAAACAAGAGGCUUUUUAAAGAAGCUAAGAAGCCUGGGGAAGUUGUUAUUAAAGGUCACAGGAGUUAUGAUUUGAUGCUUAGUUUGCAGCUUGGAAUCAGGUAUAUGCUUUGCUCCUUCUAGUCCUGUAUCCUGGGGCUGAGAUUUUGAACCGAACCCGCCGAACCGACCAAAUUUUUUUUUGCUUAGGAGUUCGGUUUGAUUUGGUAGUUUUUUUUUUUAAAGUUCAGUUUUCGGUUCGGUUCGGAAAUUGGUUACUUCAGUUUUUUUUUUAAAAGAAACUAUAACUAAACAAUUCCAAAAAACCCAAACUGAACUAACCAAAUUUCAAAUCAAGCUAACCGAAUUUAUUCAAAAUUUUAACAAAACUAAACCAAAAUAUAAUCAAAAUAAAAAAAAAUUGGGAUGCCGGAUGCCGAAUACCUUACCGAACUGAAUUUUAUUUCGGGUUAAUUCAAUAAGAUUUAUGUUGAACCGAACUAACCGGAAACCGAACUACCUGAACCGAAUGUCCUGUGAGAUAAUCUGUUUUUGUGAGAUAAGCUUAGCCUAGUAUUGUGUUAAUGAACUGGUUCAAACGUUUAGAUACACAGUGGGGAAAAUAACGCCCAUACAAAGAAGAGAAGUAAGGACAGCAGACUUUGGACCUCGGGCUAGCUUUUGGAUGAGUUUUCCUCGAGCUGGCUCCGCGAUGACACCUCCUCACCACUCUGAAGAUUUUAAAUGGAAGGACUAUUGCCCUAUGGUGUUCAGGUUAGUAUUUAUGGAUACUCCAAAAGCUUUGUCUUAUUGGUGUUUUACAUACAUUCUAAACCUUGUAGGAACCUGAGGGAGAUGUUCAAGAUGGAUGCAGCUGAUUACAUGAUGUCCAUUUGUGGAAAUGAUACCUUAAGGGAACUUUCUUCUCCAGGGAAGAGUGGGAGUGUCUUCUUCUUGUCUCAGGAUGAUAGGUUCAUGAUUAAAACACUCAGGAAAUCUGAAGUCAAGGUCUGUCACCACUUAUGCAGUUGUGUAGUGCUGGUUAGAGCUUGUGUGUGAUCAAUGGAGUAUAAUCAAAUCCUUCAUGUGUAGGUUCUCCUGAGGAUGCUUCCAUAUUACCAUCAUCAUGUAAAGACAUAUGAGAACACCCUCAUUACUAAAUUCUUUGGCCUUCACAGAAUAAAACCAUCAAGUGGUCAAAAGGUCCUUAUGCAUCCCUCUUGUACUAUAUCAUUAGCUUUGAGAUUGAUACUAACUUCAAAUAUCUCUCUCUUGCAUUGCAGUUCCGCUUUGUGGUGAUGGGUAACAUGUUCUUUACAGAUCUAAGAAUCCAUAGGAGAUUUGACCUUAAAGGUUCGAGGUUAUGUGAAGAGAGAGAGUGAUGAAAGAUAAAAAAAAGAGACUGGAUUUGAAAAUCCCAGACUGCAUUGGAGGGCUCUGCACAACUUGAAUUGUAUUUCCAAUCAUAACCAACUGCUUUCAUGGUAAACAAACAAUACAUUAAAAACUCUUCAAAUUUAUGUGAGAGCAUAACACUGUAUUCAGAGAAACAUUGAAGAAGUUAGUUACCCCAUACAUUGUCCCAACCACUGCAAUGCCUCUAGGGAUCUCUAUGUAGUUCUGGUUUCCAUGUAGGGUAAAAGGAGUCCGUCAGACCCUUUUGGCUGCAUCUUCAUCUUCCAAUACAAAUCUGGCUAAUUGUCUAAAUAACAUGUCUCAGCUAUCACAUAGCUGAGAUAAAAAAAUAUUUUGAAUGGAUAAUGAAACUAUUAGAGGAUGCAGUAGAAGUUAAGUUGCUAGAAUAAAAAAAAAAAGAAGGGACCUGAAGAAGUGCAGAGAUGAACAUAUGAAAAGCAUAGUGUUUGGUUGAUUACAAACUCAAAAAUCAGCAGCAACACACGGCAUGUGCAUCUGACACGAAACAAAAUCUUAACACUUAACGUUUUUCAACAAAAUGAGAAAGGAAGGGUGAACGAUACCUGCAAGUUUCUUUGAUUUCAUUAACAAAAUAAGCAAGGAGUGAUGAACGAUACCUUCUGAGAAAUGAUUUCCAAAGACUGGUCGAGUGGAGUUUGCUCGAAAUACUCCUGCUCUGCUGAGAUCUAUUGAAUCUGAGUUUUUGUUGUGCUCAUUCAGUAGAUCUUAAUUUCUGGCAUAGCUUGUUAGGGUUUCCAUGGCUUGCAUCUGGAUUAUAUAAAGAUACAAAGAGGAGUCGAAGAGGAUUCAUGAUAUCAAUAAUGGGAGAAGUUAAAAAAACGCCUUUGAGUGGCAAGUAAACUCAUGCUCUCUAGCUCUCUCCUCUUGUGCGGUGCUGUCUAGGGUUUUGGAGGUGGCAAGAUCUAUGGCUCACGCCGGAAAGCUUCGUCGCCUCCUCCCCUUCGGAUUAUGAACAACGUGACGGAGUAGUGGUCGUUUGGUGAUGUCGUUGAAGCUUUCUCUCUUUCCAUCUUGGCGGAUCUGAAGGAUCUCUGGUGCGGAGGUUAAUAGGAGGGCUCGAAAGCUCUGGUGGCUCGUUCUCCAACGGAGUGCUCUCCCGGAUUGAGGAUGACUGGGAGACUGACGGUGGCGACUGGUCAGUCAUUGGGGCGGCAGAGGCUCAUCUGAUUGUCAGGGAGUGAGAUGGUGUCAACGGAUCUACGGUGAGGCUCGUCUGCUUAGAAUAAGAAAUGGAAAAGGUCAUCAAAUGGCGAAUACAACGGAGAAGACGAAAAAAAAAGGGCUAGACUGGCUUUUGGACAUCGUGUGUCUGACGUGGCGAAAAAGUGUUUUCUAAUUGGCCGAUUUUUUAAAGUGACGUGGACACACUCUCUACUCUUCAUAUAACCCUUUUAGUAUAGGUUAGAUUUCUGUCCUUUUGUUUGGUACAUUUUCUUGUUUUCUCGCAUUGAAAUAUAUAAACUACUAUUGUUUUUGCCCAAUUAUACAUGCUAAUGUUUAGUCGACAUGGCCAAAAUAUGACCAUAACAUCAUUAAAUAAUAGGUACGAUUGACGUUAAACUAACGGCUUGAAUUAAGCCGAAACAUAAUACGAUCUUAGACAUAAUGCCAAAUACAAACAUGUGCGAUCUAAAUCUAAUCAUACUGCACAUAACCUGUGACGUUCAACUCACGCUUGAGUUUGUUCUCAUGAUACUUAAAGGAGCUAGGGCCAUGCCUGAGGAUGGUUAAUUACAGCCAGGACCGGUCUGGAACAUAGACAAAGAAACCGACCGCUUACGACAUCAUCAUUUUAGUUGUAAAUAAACAAAAUAAAAAUUGUACACGAAUAAUAAAGACACACAAUUUUAAAUGAGCCUAAGACAUUAAGAAAAAAUUAAAAAUGUUGGACUGGUACUGAUUACAGCUUCAAUCCCAAAAACUUUGCUAUACAACCUGUGAUACUGCUAAUCUAACCUAUUAAUUUAGAGUCAUAUUUUUAUCUACAAUUAAUAAGUCAUAGUAGGACCACUUACAGAAUUAGUUAAUAUUUGAUUAUUUACAAUAAUAAUAAUCCAACCAUAAAUUUGAAUUUUUUUUUAAUUAUAACAAAAUCUGUUGAAAAAGAAUCUAACAAAAUCUUACUAAAAAUUUAAAUAUUUUAUAAAAUAAACAUUAAUUAAUUUUGUAAUUAGUAAUAUAAUAUUAUUAUAAAUCAAUGUUAAUUUUUUUUUUAUAAAACAAGAAAAUAAAAAUUCUAUACUAUUUCUUUUAUAAAUUUUAUAAUUAUAUUCUAUAUUAUAUAAAAGUAGAAGUGAUUUAUGCAUUAAAUAUGAAAAUAUAUAUUUAAGAGGUAAAUUAACAAUUUUUUUUUAAAUUGUUUCAUUUAAGUAAAUUAUCACUCAUUAUUAAAAUUAGUUAAAUUUCAUAAAAUAUAAAAUAUAUUUAUACAAAAUAAAUUUGUUAACACAAGUUAAACUUUUAUAUUCUACAACUAUAUAUUCUAUUUUUAUUUAUUUUGAAUCUCUCAACAAUAUAUUGUGUAAAAUGUCUAUAUACAAAAAUAUAAUAGUAUAUAAUAACCUUUAGUUCAUAUACUAUUUUAAAAAUAUGUUAUUAGAAAACUAUGAAAUUUUAAUAACUGAUUAAAAAUAUUAAUAACAAAUCAAAUUUUAAUAUUAAGUUUAUUUUUUAUUUUUAUUACAACAAAAUCCGUUGGAAAAAAGUUAGAUAAUAUUAUCAAAAAUUAAAAUAUUUUUAUAUUAUAAUGUAUUAGUGUAGUAAAAGAUAUUCAAAAUUCAUGUAAUCUUCGAAACUCAAAAAUAGUUGUGUAAUAUUCCAAAGUUUUCUUGAGAAAAUAUAUAAUUUGAAAAAAAAUAUUAAAACUAAAAAUGAUAAUUUUUCAAAUUUUUAAAAGAUAAAAUCAUAGAUAGUAAAUAGUAACUUUUUCAAAUGCACCACGAAAAAAAUAUAUAUGUUAUAAAAAUGAAAGUAAUCUAAUAUUUUGAAAUCUUAAUAAAAAAACUUAAUAUCAUAACAUCCAAAAAUGUAUUCUAUAUGCAUAAAAUUUACUAAAAUAAUAUGAUAGAUGCUACUAUGUAUAAUAUUUACUAAAAUAAUAAGGUUAUAUUAUUUAAACAAAACAAUAUUUUUACUUAGAAAUCUCGUAAAAUACUAAAAUGAUAUAUGUUAAAGUAUAUUUUUAAACACAAUAUGUAAAUAUAAAUUAGCUUAUAUAUAUAUAAAUUUUAAAAUGCAUUAUAUGCAAAAUGUAUAAAUUAAAGAGAAAACAUAAUUUGAAGGAGGUUUUCUAUUUGAUUAUUUCAGAUUGUUAUUUUAUUGUACCUAACUCAAAAUAUAUUAGUAAGUAUUAAAAGUUAACUUAAAAAUAUAUUAGAAAAAUAACUAUAUAUUAAUAAUGUCGAAUAAAAAAUAUAACCAAUAUUAUAGAGUUACACAAUAUAUUAUAUUAAAAUGGAAACUAUAUAUUAAAAAGUUGUAAUAAUAUCAAAUACUUUAUGAAAUGAAAAAAUAUUUGCAGCGGGUCAAAAUAUAGUAGUCAUUAUAUAUCACCAACAAGUCUCAGUUUGACUAUAUAUGAUUUAGAUGAUAAAAUGACCAUUAAAAUUUUCAGAACUACUCUGAUUUUUCGCUUCUUUGUUAUAACUAGCAACUUGUUAUCUAUUUCAAACUGAAUUGUUCCAACCUUUUUUUUUCAAACUCAAUUGGUAAGCAGAAAUUGACUUUAAAAUAUUGGAUCGCACGUGGAUUAGUGUAAGAAAAACACAAAUGUCCCCCUUCACCGGCCAAGCAGGUCAACAUCUCUACCUUCUAAAACGCAACAAUUUUUUUUGUUGAAUAUUAUUUUCUCAUACAAUACACCAAAUAUUUGUUAAUAAACAAAUACCAUAGACCACUACGAAAAGAUCUAGUAAUUGAUAAACUAUUAAACCCAUCUCAACUUUGAGAUAUAUAAAAUGUAUAACUAACUCUUGCAAUUCAAGACAUCAAUCUGCUGGGCUAAACUGUAAGAAUAAGAAUUUAGUUUUUUUUUAAGUAGGCAAAUCAGAAGAAAAAAAAAGCUAAAAAAGGUUCAGCCUGUGAUACGAAGGUUAUAUUCGUCUUUUGGUAUUUCUUUUAUUGGAAAAAAGAGUUUCUGUAAUAAGAAAGCUGUUAUUGUGGCGCUUACUGCUUUAGCUUCGGGAUUUGGUCCAAUCGUCUCUUUUGUACAGAUUGACCCCAAAGACCCCCAGAAGAAGCUCUGACGAAGACCAAGAAGACAGAGAGAAAGAGAGCAGCUUUGAGUUUUGUCCCAACGGUUUGUACACCUCUUACUUCGUUGGUCUGGAUUUGGUUUUCUGGAUCCGGUUCAAGUUCUGUCCGUUCGGUUCGCUUAUUGUGUGUGUGUGUGUGUCUCUGCUCUGUUUGAUUGAAAGCUUUAAACUUUGGAUCUUCGAUUUUUGUAUGCUUUCAUUUUGUCAUUGAUGAUGAUUGAAAUGGAGUUGCUUUUGUGAUUCUAAUAAUCCAAAAUUUUAUUUUUAUUGUUUACAAUGGGCUAUUGUGUUUGUAGAGAUUAUGAGGAGUCUCAUCAUGAACUUUUUAUGUGUAGAGAUUUCAAAAUUUAGAUUAGAGAGAUUAUGAAAGUUUUGAUGAACAUUUUGGAUUCCUUUGAUCAGUCCCCAGAAAGUAAGAUUCUCUCUAAACUUUUUGUUCGGUAAAUUUUGUCAUACUCUGCCUUUUUUUGGAGACGUGGUGAGGAAUCUCUUCUUUAAUCAGAAUUCAAAAAGGAUUGCAAAAUUGUUAUAAAUAAAAAAGACUUUAUGAUUGUAAAUUCUUCUUCUUCUUCCCUUUAACGGCUUUCUUUUUUGAGAAAAACAAAUAGUAGUUUUUGUUUACUCCUCCCUUCAUUCUCUACCUCUCUUUGUGAAAUUGAAUGAGUUCUUUGGUUCUUUCAAGUGGGACCAAGAACUAGAUGCGUGUCUUAGUUUUCUUAUCUGACAGAGAUUUGAGCAAGUAUUUGCUUUUGUGACCAUAUCUACAUGUUUUCCUCAUUAGUAUUUUUAUUCAUGAAAAGUUUGUUUAAUUUCCUUUUCUUUUGAUUCUGAUUCUAGAUUCACACAUCGUGGCCUGGAACCUGAUUCUCGCAUCUGCUUCUUUCUCCACGAAGUGUAUAGUAGCUGAGACCACAUUUCUAUAAUUCAUGUUUUGUUUGAAAGUAGCAUUCUCCUUGAAGCUGCUCUGAGCGUUUGUGAUGCACUAAAGAUAGUGGACGAGAGUAUCGACAGUGCAAGGAUUUAUCGAUUUCUAUACAGUUUCUUGUUACCUAAGCUUCCGCUCUCUCAAUCAGUUUGUGUGCUUUAGAUUCAUUACAUGUCUUCCCUUGAAGUGGGAGGAGGAGGACCAGUUGCAUUCGCAGAAAGAACCAAAUCCGUUGAUGCACUCACCAAGAAAGAGAUCCUCUCCGCUCUAACCAACGGAGAGAUCACCUCCGACCCUUCCGAGGACGCUAGGUUCAGAAACAGGGAGCUCUCCCUCCCCAACGGCGAGUCCUACGACGGCACUCUCCUGGGAAACGUCCCCGAGGGCUCAGGGAAGUACCUGUGGUCAGACGGCAGCGUUUACGUCGGCGAAUGGAGACGCGGGAUGAGACACGGCAACGGGAAGAUGAGAUGGGCUUCGGGCGCGUGCUACGAAGGCGAGUUCUCAGGAGGCUACAUGCACGGCACGGGGACGUACACGGACGCUAAU
rnacentral:lncRNA from 1 species